ensembl:lncRNA
UUUCCAUUCAUUGUGUAUGCAACCCUAAACAUGCUGCUGAUGGAACCAUGGUCUGGAAUCGAUUAAAACAGGUUAGCAAGAGAUGGAGCAGAACCAGGAAUUGCUGCGCUUUUUGAGAGAUCGAGGGUUUGAUGAGGAUCUCGUACAGACCUUCAUCAAUGAAAAGAUUUACUGCAGUGCUGUCAAGGUCAUGAUGGAUGCUGAACUCGCAAAAUACGUGCCCGGAUUUGGUGAUCGUAUUGCCAUAAGGCAGUACUGCAAAAGAGAAGUGGCUGCUCUCCAUGGAUCCAGUGUGUUCAAAGCUGCAGAUCCGUUUUUUAAUUGUUCCAUAAGCCUAAAGAAAAGUCAUAAGUAGCCUGCAAAACCUUGCGGAAACUCCAACGCUAAGACAACAGAACGUACUUUCCAAAUUGGAUGGCUGGAACAAGUUGGAGUCGACUCAUUCUGCCAAGUUAGAGAGAAAAAGGUGGUGGGACAAGACAAUUAAAGGCACCAAAGACGGUCACUAAGGCACUUUUAUUUCCAAAUGGAAAAAGAAAACUCAAUGAUUUGGAAUUUAACAUGCGAGACUUUACUAAGGGAGCGCUAGACCCAUCUACUUCAUUGGUCGAACAAUACGAACUCAGAAAAGAAAACAGUUUAAAUCUAUAUCUUUCCCGCAGAUUAAACUUUCAUGGCAGCUGCCUCCAUCUCCAAAGAGAAGAAUAACAGAACCAAGUACAGCAGAAUCAAAUGUUGUUACAUGCGCCGAAUACAACAGGUGCAGAUGUCCUUGUUUUGAGACCAAGAGUGACUUUGGAAGAAGCCCCCCAAGACUGCUGAAGAACACACACAUGCUGUACACAGUGUCGUCGUUGUCAGUGUCGCUUCGACAUUAGGACCUGGCCACUGUCAAGCUGGCCCUGAUGAUUGCAAACACUGGCAAAGAGUUCCAAAAUUAAAUGAAUGUAGCAAACUGAUACUGUAGCCACAAUAUGCA